AUUGAACGCUGGCGGCAUGCCUUACACAUGCAAGUCGAACGGCAGCGCGGGCGUCUGCUUCUGGUGGAGUGGGGAGCGCGGGUGUGAUUCAUAUGGGCGUACGCAGUGUUGUGGGGGAGAGCGGCGAGAAAGGGGGUAUUAUCGCGCAUGAGCUGAGCGUGUAACCGGGGGGCCGAAAGGCCUCUCGCGAUUUGGGGGUCGGAGGUCGGAUUAGCUAGUUGGUGGGGUAAAGGCUUACCAGGGCGACGAUCCGUAGCUUGUCUGAGAGGACGACCAGCCACACUGGGACUGAGACACGGCCCAGACUCCUACGGGAGGCAGCAGUGGGGAAUUUUGGACAAUGGGGGAAAGCCUGAUCCAGCAAUGCCGCGUGUGGGAAGAAGGCCUUCGGGUUGUAAAGCGCUUUUGUCCGGAAAGAAAUCCUUUGCGCUAAUACGGUCGGGGGAUGACGGUACCGGAAGAAUAAGCACCGGCUAACUACGUG
rnacentral:rRNA from 1 species